rnacentral:rRNA from 1 species
AGAGUUUGAUCAUGGCUCAGAAUGAACGCUGGCGGCGUGCCUAACACAUGCAAGUCGAGCGAGAAAGUCCCCUUCGGGGGGCGAGUAAAGCGGCGCACGGGUGAGUAACGCGUGGGUAACCUGCCCUAGAGUGGGGGAUAACCAGCCGAAAGGCUGACUAAUCCCGCAUACGACCGGCAGACACAAGUCUGCUGGGGAAAGAUGGCCUCUGCUUGCAAGCUAUCGCUCUUGGAUGGGCCUGCGUUGGAUUAGCUAGUUGGUGAGGUAAUGGCUCACCAAGGCUGCGAUCCAUAGCUGGUUUGAGAGGACGACCAGCCACACUGGAACUGAGACACGGUCCAGACUCCUACGGGAGGCAGCAGUGAGGAAUAUUGCGCAAUGGGGGAAACCCUGACGCAGCGACGCCGUGUGAGCGAUGAAGGCCUUCGGGUCGUAAAGCUCUGUCAGAGGGAAAGAAAGGGCCGGAGGAAUAAUACCCUUCGGCAUUGACGGUACCCUCAGAGGAAGCACCGGCUAACUCCGUGCCAGCAGCCGCGGUAAUACGGAGGGUGCAAGUGUUAUUCGGAAUCACUGGGCGUAAAGAGCACGUAGGCGGAUUGGUAAGUCAGGUGUGAAAUCCCGGGGCUCAACUCCGGAACUGCAUUUGAUACUGCCAGUCUUGAGUGAGGUAGAGGGGGAGUGGAAUUCCCGGUGUAGAGGUGAAAUUCGUAGAUAUCGGGAGGAACACCAGAGGCGAAGGCGACUCCCUGGGCCUCUACUGACGCUGAGGUGCGAAAGCGUGGGGAGCAAACAGGAUUAGAUACCCUGGUAGUCCACGCCGUAAACGAUGAGUACUAGGUGCGGGGGGUAUAAACUCCUUCCGUGUCGCAGCUAACGCAUUAAGUACUCCGCCUGGGAAGUACGGUCGCAAGGCUGAAACUCAAUGAAUUGACGG